UACGAAUGGGGCAAGCGUUGUUCGGAAUCACUGGGCUUAAAGCGUGCGCAGGCGGUCUUGUAAGUCAGAAGUGAAAGCCCGGGGCUCAACCCCGGAAUUGCUUUUGAAACUGCAAGACUAGAAUAUGGGAGAGGUUAGCAGAAUUCCGAGUGUAGAGGUGAAAUUCGCAGAUAUUCGGAGGAAUACCAGUGGCGAAGGCGGCUAACUGGACCAUUAUUGACGCUCAGGCACGAAAGCGUGGG
rnacentral:rRNA from 1 species